rnacentral:rRNA from 1 species
GACGAACGCUGGCGGCGUGCCUAACACAUGCAAGUCGAACGGAAACGCCCUGCUUGUUUGCGGUGCUCGAGUGCCGAACGGGGGAGGAACACGUGAGUAACCUACCCUUCACUUUGGGAUGACUUCAGGAAAGUGGGGCUAAUCUCGGACAGGAUAUCCCGCACCAGUGUGGGCGGUGGAUAUUUUAGGCGGUUGGGGUUGGACUGGCGGCUUAUGGGCUAGUUGGUUGGGUAGUGGCUUACCAAGCAUUUGACGGGUAGCCGGCCGGAGAGGGGGAACGGCCACAUUGGGACUGAGAUACGGCCCAGACUCGUACAGUAGGCAGCGGUGGGGAAUAUUACACAGUGGGCGGGAGCCUGAUGCAGCAACGCCGCGUGCGGGAUGACGGCCUGCGGGUUGUGAACCGCUUUCGCCUGUGACGAAGCGUGAGUGACGGUAAUGGGUAAAGAAGCACCGGCUAACUACGUG